UUUGGGAAAUGAUGCUAAGAUCCAAACUACAUUAUCUGAGUUUUCCAUGCUGAAUGCAUGCUUGCACGUCGGUCUGAACCCAAA
rfam:Nelumbo nucifera unplaced genomic scaffold scaffold00019, whole genome shotgun sequence